GCGAUUGGGGUUAUACGCUGUAGAGUUGUUCUGUGUGCUACAGGGUAUCGCGAUCGUAUGUGAUCUGGUGGAGUCGCGUGAAAAUAUCGAACGAUUCGGAGAUGGUAUCUGUAUCUUAACGUCGCUCAUAGUGGUACUAACGAAGCGAUGGUUCUGUAGGUUUUAUAUCGACGAGCUGCAUGACUUCGUCGAACAAUACCGUAUCGGGUUAGACCUCUAUCGGCAUCGUGAACAGCAGUUCGUUCAGCAGCUUCUCUCCCGCCACCGAUUGGAAUGGCUGCUGAGCAUGGAUUUCGCUACAUUAUGAACGGAGCUACCAGUAGCACAUGGACCCGAGAGCCGAAAUGAAACCGUAGAUACACGCAUUAGACAGCUAUUAUUGCGUCACCAACAUUUGCUGGAGUUGGGCAACCAGGUGAAGGAACUACUCGAACCGAAUAUAAUAGGACAGUUCAUAGCUAGCAUUAUCAUGAUCAACCAGAUCCUUAUGUGAAGUUUAUUCGGUGAUCUCGUCGCCCAAAAGUCCUUGAGCGUUUCCGAUGGAAUUGCCAGCUGUAACUGGAUCGUACUCGAUAGCAGACAGAAGAAGGAUCUCUCUUUCAUCAUGAUGCGAGCUCAGAAACCCUUCAUCAUCAGCGUGUACCGGAUGUUCCCCUUAACCUACGAAACGUUCUUGGCGAUUCUGAGUCGCUCAUACUCAAUAUUUACCAUCUUGACGGAAAUGAUUGAGUGAUGCUUUACAUAUUCACAACACAAAGGAAUUCUUGACAAAUUUUACAACCUAAUGCACGGUGGUAGGGAUGCCACGGAUAGCGUGUUAAUUGCUGCACACUGAAUGCUGAACUAGUCUGAUGGUCAUACACUAAAUCAUGCAAUUGAAUACCUAUUGCACUAGCAUAAAUCAUUAGUGCACGUACAGUAAAACAGCACAAAGCCACAAGAACUGUGAAUGCGUUUGCCGUUAAUAUAAACUUGCACUACGGUUGUCGCCAGU